rnacentral:rRNA from 1 species
AGUGAACGCUGGCGGUAGGCCUAACACAUGCAAGUCGAACGGCAGCACAGUAAGAGCUUGCUCUUACGGUUGGCGAGUGGCGGACGGGUGAGGAAUACAUCGGAAUCUACUUUUUCGUGGGGGAUAACGUAGGGAAACUUACGCUAAUACCGCAUACGACCUACGGGUGAAAGCAGGGGAUCUUCGGACCUUGCGCGAUUGAAUGAGCCGAUGUCGGAUUAGCUAGUUGGCGGGGUAAAGGCCCACCAAGGCGACGAUCCGUAGCUGGUCUGAGAGGAUGAUCAGCCACACUGGAACUGAGACACGGUCCAGACUCCUACGGGAGGCAGCAGUGGGGAAUAUUGGACAAUGGGCGCAAGCCUGAUCCAGCCAUACCGCGUGGGUGAAGAAGGCCUUCGGGUUGUAAAGCCCUUUUGUUGGGAAAGAAAAGCAGCAGGUUAAUACCCCGAUGUUCUGACGGUACCCAAAGAAUAAGCACCGGCUAACUUCGUG